rnacentral:tRNA from 1 species
GUAGUGCAGAGGAUAGCAUGGCCGCCUUUGACGCGGAGCGCCUGGGUUCAAAUCCCGGC